AACGAACGCUGGCGGCACGCCUAACACAUGCAAGUCGAACGAGACCUUCGGGUCUAGUGGCGCACGGGUGCGUAACGCGUGGGAACCUGCCCUUAGGUUCGGAAUAACUCCCCGAAAGGGGUGCUAAUACCGGAUAAUGUCUUCGGACCAAAGAUUUAUCGCCUUUGGAUGGGCCCGCGUUGGAUUAGCUAGUUGGUAGGGUAAAAGCCUACCAAGGCGACGAUCCAUAGCUGGUCUGAGAGGAUGAUCAGCCACACUGGGACUGAGACACGGCCCAGACUCCUACGGGAGGCAGCAGUGGGGAAUAUUGGACAAUGGGCGAAAGCCUGAUCCAGCAAUGCCGCGUGAGUGAUGAAGGUCUUAGGGUUGUAAAGCUCUUUUACCCGGGAUGAUAAUGACAGUACCGGGAGAAUAAGCUCCGGCUAACUCCGUG
rnacentral:rRNA from 1 species